UGCCUGGAAUGUGGUAGCUGCUUUGUUGGGUGGGUGUGGCAGGGCCAUGGGGACCCCUCUUUCUGCUUGCCCCUUUGCCAGGGAGAAGUCCCCCGGAAGUUAUGGCAGCGGGGCUCGGUGGCUCACGCUGGCAUCUUGGUUGGCCUGUGUACUCCUUCGAAUCCCCUGGAUUCUUGUCAGUUUGAUGGAUGGAAAGGUUUACCAUGGGCCCAUCUUAGAUGGGGUGGAAUGGAGGGACUUGGGCACGACAGUCAGGAAGCUCACCUAACCCAGAGGUCAGCGCAUGCAGGCUACACGGUGCCGGUCUCAUGCCCUACGUGGGCUCACUUCACCUGGCUGCACUCUGAAGUCCCAGGAGGCACAGAGAGGAUUGACCGGAGGUGGAGGAAGUUUGGGGUACAACACAAACACCCAGAAGAGGCACCUGCCCUAGGCUUGGGGGCAGCAGUGUCAUUCAGGAGAGAAGAGUGUCUGUGUGGCACUCUACAGAUGGAGCAGUCAAUCCUGGGAGUCUUCUGGAGGCAGCAGCAGUCCUUGCGCACCUGCUGUACCAGGUACUGAGCCCAGAAACGAGAGGGCCCCCUCUACUCCACUGGUGCCGUGUGGCAGGUAUGCUGGGCGAUGCUGUGACCUGAGGGCUUUUCCUGCCCGUCUUUCUUCCUCUGCCUCUCUGCAGGUCCCUCACACACGUAUACUUGCACAUACGAGUACAGUUGCACACAUGUAUGCUGGCACACUUACCUACAUCCAUUUGCACCCACGUACACACUUGCACACACUGCCUUUGCAGGCACACACCUAUAUAUUUUCUGCAGCACGUUCUAUUUUUGCACACCACACAUCCGUCUGCACCAAUAUGCUUGCAUAUGUGCAUUUGCACACAUCCAUACACACACACGGACACAUUUGCAUACCUACACAUCGUAUCCGUGCACACACAGUAAGGAAAUGCACACACAUGUACAGUGCACACACACGUAUUCUAGUGCACAUUGCCUCCAUCUCAGUCCCUCUGGUCACUCUUCUUGCCUGUGUCUCCCCACUGCUGCCUCUACUGGAAGGGACCUGGCCUCAUGUUGCACCCCUCUGACUGCCCUCUUGCCUGCCCCUCCCUCUCUCUCUGUCUUUCUCUCUCUCUCUCUCCCUC